GAGUUUGAUCGUGGCUCAGGAUGAACGCUGGCGGCGUGCCUAACACAUGCAAGUCGAGCGAAGCAUACAGGAGGAAGUUUUCGGAUGGAAUCCUGCAUGGCUGAGCGGCGGACGGGUGAGUAACGCGUGGGUAACCUGCCUUAUACAGGGGAUAACAGUUAGAAAUGACUGCUAAUACCGCAUAAGCGCACAGUACCGCAUGGUAGUGUGUG
rnacentral:rRNA from 1 species